UGGUGCUAAAGAUGGCCGGCGAUGGAGGCGCUCUGAAGGAUAUUAACGAGAUAAAGUCGCAGUUCCGCACCAGGGAGGGUUUCUACAAGCUGCUCACGCUCUCGGACUCGCAGCAGCGGGCCGGGUUAGUGCGCGGUCCCGGAGCCGGAGGUGCCGCAGCCGGUGCCGCCUCGAUACCGGGGGGCGGUGGUGGUGUGGUCCCAGGACCCGGCGGCUCCUCUCCGGCUUCGGCGGGCUUCCUGCCCCCGGUGCGGGUCUCCAUGGUGAAGCUUCAGCCGGAAGACCCGAGUGAGGAAUCCGAGCGUGUGUGCUUCAAUGUCGGCCGUGAGCUUUACUUCUACACCUACACUAACAUUAAAAAGGCGGUGGAUCUUAGUAAGCCUAUAGAUAAGCGUAUAUAUAAAGGGACGCAGCCCACGUGUCAUGACUUUAAUCAGUAUUCAGCAACUGCGGACAGUGUGGCUCUCAUUGUGGGCUUCUCGGCAGGCCAAGUGCAGUACCUGGACCCCAUCAAAAAAGAGACCAGCAAGCUCUUCAAUGAAGAGAGAUUAAUAGACAAAACUAAAGUGACCUGUCUCAAAUGGCUCCCUAAAUCUGAGAACUUAUUCCUGGCCUCCCAUGCUAGUGGUCACCUCUACCUCUAUAAUGUGGAGCACCCAUGUGGCACAACAGCGCCGCAGUAUUCUCUGCUUCGGCAGGGUGAGGGAUUUGCUGUUUACGCUUGCAAAACCAAAACACCUCGUAAUCCACUUCUGAGAUGGGCAGUGGGGGAAGGCGGGCUGAAUGAAUUUGCAUUUUCACCCGAUGGUGUGCACAUAGCUUGUGUUGGCCAAGAUGGCUGCCUCCGUGUCUUUCAUUUUGAUUCAAUGGAGUUGCAUGGUGUCAUGAAGAGCUACUUUGGUGGCUUGCUCUGUGUUUCUUGGAGUCCGGAUGGGAAAUAUUUGGCUACUGGUGGAGAAGACGACUUGGUCACUGUGUGGUCAUUUGCAGAGAGUCGUGUGGUGGCACGAGGUCAUGGCCACAAGUCAUGGGUCAACGUGGUGGCUUUCGACCCCUUUACCACCAGCUUAGAAGAAGAGGAACCGAUGGAGCUUAGUGGUAGUGAGGAGGACCUCCACCAGGGCCAGGGAGCGCUAAAUUUUGGUCGCGUACGAACCAGCAGCACUUUGUCCCGUCUCUCUCGGCACAGCUCUAAAGGCGGCGGGCCAUCUGUCUCUUACCGCUUUGGAUCGGUGGGACAAGAUACCCAGUUUUGCCUCUGGGAUCUAACCGAUGAUGUCUUGUAUCCUCGACUUCCCCUUUCCCGUGCCCUCACCAACACUUUCGGCUCCAACGUGCCACCUUCCAUUAGUGCAGGAUUGAACAACACGAGUGGAAGUGGAGGUGUUGAAGGUCACCAUCACCCUUCCAACACCCACCAGACGGCAUCGUUGCCCCUUCCUCUACCUCGCUCGCUUUCAAGGUCCAAUUCCCUUCCUCAUCCUGCUGUUGCAAAUGCUUCAAAAAGCCAAGGGGGAACAGAAAGUGGAGGGACCGGAGGAAGUGGAGGAGGAAGCAGUGCUCCCUUUAGCAUUGGACGUUUUGCAACACUGUCGCUCCAAGAGCGCAAAUCGGACAAGUCUGCAACUGGAGGGGAAAAGGAGCACAAGCGUUACCACAGUCUUGGGAACAUCAGUAAGAGUAAUGACAAGAUCAAUGUAGCACCACGUAGCAACCGAUUGGAUGCCUCUAAGGUGCUGGGAACAACGUUGUGUCCACGGAUGAAUGAAGUCCCCUUGCUAGAACCUCUCGUCUGUAAGAAGAUUGCCCAUGAGAGGCUCACAGUUCUUGUCUUCAUGGACGAUUGCAUCAUCACUGCAUGCCAAGAGGGACUCAUCUGCACCUGGGCACGACCGGGCAAAAUGUAAGGUGACUCAGGUGGUUGGAUUAGGAAAAAAUCUUUGGUUGCCAAUUUUUGCAAAAAGAUGGAGCCAUUUUGGACCUCAUUUAUGCCUGAUUGCAUCAUGCCUCUUGUUUAGAUUGAUAUAAUUGUGAUAUUCAAGCUGCACAAAAUGACCAGCAUUCUUCUCAACCAUUAUCAACACAAAACGGAAACUCACCCAGUGGAACGGUGGUAUAGCCAACAGCAAAGCUUUUUCAGUUACCUGCACUGAUGCUUCCUGUUUUCAGAGGCUUGACUUCCUGAGCUUGAGGCCUGGAGUUUUUCUGGCACAGUGUUACCACUGUUCUUACCCUGUCACAUCUUCAUAACCACACAAACACAAAACGCACACAUGCAGCUUAUCUGAAGACAAACAUACAAAGACAGUGGCACCAACCAUACAAAUGUAGAUACUCUUAUCUUCCAUAUCAGCUUCCUACUAUGUUCCUUUGAUGGAAAGGAGACUAAGACAUUCCUUCCAUCACCCUCUUACCAAGAGGAGGGAGAAAAAAAAAAAACACUACAGAUGCCACGGCCAUUGUACCUUAUUUAUUUAUUUUAUCAUUGAAACUGUAGUAAUUUAUAUUGUACAUAUUCAGAAUACUCUAUAAAGGCAGAGGAUUAAAUGUAUUGAAAUAAACUCAAAUAAUUAAUAUAUGAAAGUCCUAUAUUGUACAUAGUCACAGUUGCGUUUGAAUGUUUGUGAAACGUAGGGGAUUUAAAGAUUUAGCGUUUCUGUAUGCUAGUGCUCCCUAUGCUGUUGAGGCCAACCAUUGGGAUUUGAUGAAGUAGCUGCAUUCCGUUUAGCCUGAACCGAGAUUUCGCCUUUUUCCUCAGACAGCUAGGGUUUCCUAACUCUUAACGAACACAAUCCGAAGUAGUUCCACAUUCAACAUGGUCAGCACACCAAACUAAAAAUGCUACUAGCUUAAAUUUGGUAAAGAACUGAAGCAAAAAUGAGGCACUUUUACAAGCUUUCUUGAAGCUGCUAACUCCAAUGUUUUUCAAUGCUGGUGGGCAAAAAUCAACAUUUUAUCCCUUCAAGUGAAUUAAACUAAGUUUUGUUAAACAUUUGCCUUGUUGAACACAAGGUAAUUCGCUAGCUAAUGAAGCUAGCUAAACCUAAGAAAAAAUACUUGUCACUGUAGUUCAGUAACAUAUUUAACUAUUGUAGCAUCUAGUAGGCAGAAUUUUUCUUACCUGCUAUGCCUCUUGCAAUAUUUUGCACAGAUAACAGUUUGAGUUUUAGCCAAUGAGACAAGCACAGAUGGUUUUCCAGAAGGUUGAAUGGCUUGAGCUAGUGAACUGGAAAACAUACGAACAUGUUUCUUUCCAACAUUUCAUAAUAAUUUGAGGAAUGUGGCGCUAGCUUACUGUCUAGCUGAUUUUAGAUUAGUGUGACCGACUGUAGUGGUUUUCCUGUCAUCAUUCUUAUAAAAGGACCGCCCCCUCCUCCCCUCGAGGAACCCCAAGCUUGAGUAUUGAGAACUAACCGUCUUGAUCAUGCUUGUAAUGUUUUUGGUUUGUAAACGUAAGGUUUAGGUAGGCUAUUAAUGUUUAAGGUGUUGAAUAAGCUGUGUUCAUUUAAAAAGGCUUUACUUAAUACUUUUUAUUUUAACGCAUGGCAGAAACAAACUAGCCAGCUAUUUCAUCUUAGCAUAACUGCAUUCAAUACCAUAGCUUAGCGAGGUAGCAGACCAGCUCUGUCGGAAGGACCACCACAGUCACUGGAACAGCUGUUGCUCUAGUGAUUUACAAAACUAAGAUUUCCAACAAUAUUGUAGAGAUAAACACUUAGCUUGGCCAGUAAGUUCAUCUACGUUUGGAUGGGAUUUAACACACCAUCAACUUCCCCUUUAUGGCCUGUAUGCCACCUAAUACAACUUUAUCAAGUCCCUGUUUUCACUUUGCAUGGGUCAAUAUUGAGCGUACAGCGGGAAUCCAAUGAUUAAACAGAAAUGUGCUUGGCACUGACAGCAAGAGUAAUAUGGCUGAAAUGGUUUGCUUGUAGUUUUAUGCACUUGGUAUAUCCUUCAGCAUGCUAACAAAGUGAAGUAAUCAAGCUCCAUUUGUCCACCAUUUUUUGACUGAACUCCAUUAGCAGACCUGCCAACACUGAUGUAUUUUGUGUAGGCGCUCUGUAUUUUAACACAGAAGGAUCACUCAAAAAUAUGGCAAAAGCGCAGUCGCCUCUUCCCUCCUCAGUAGAAACGCCAGAUGAUUCAAUCAAUAUAUGAAAUGAUUGUCGGUUGCAUAGGUGUUUUAACUGACACACCUGAAAGCCCCGCUCCUUCCCCUAUUCUCCAAUUAGUAGUACUUUUGGCUGACGGUCUCUUCUUGACUCAAAUUUCCCACUGGAAAGAAGCAGCACCUUUGUUCAUUUAUGAGCUCGAUCGAUGCAUGUUUGAUUGAGCUAACAUUAGACACGUAACGAAAUUUUGGUGACUGGAAAAAAGCCUUAAAAUUUUGGCCAAGGACAAUAUUGCAACUGUGGAACCAUUUCAUGAUUUCAACAAGGGAUGUUAUGGUGAAGCCUAAAGGUUAGAGAAAGGGCUUUGGGACCAAAAGGUUGCUGGUUUGAUUCCCUAGACCAGCAGGAAUGGCUGAAGUGCCCUUGAGCAAGGCACCUAACCCCCAACUGGAUGCUCUGGGUACGUUGUACAUCACUCUGAAUAAAAGUGUCUGCUAAAUGCCUGUAAAGUAAUGCAACAUUAGUGAAAACAAAAUGAUGCCCAGCUCUCCAUCCAUGAAUUCUGUAGACUGCAUGUUAUUCCACUUCAGGUUGGCAGGUCUGCAUCAGAAACGGUAUCUUCUCUCAUCACAUAGUUUCGUUGAUUUUACGCCAACUUGGUUCCUUGUUUAGCAAACUUCGCUCAGGCUAACCGUAACCAAGUGGUCCUUGAGCUGACAGCAGAAAUUCAACAAUGAGAACUGGGAAGGGGGGUGUUGCCUAUAUAGGGGGCUAUAUUCACUCGGAGCCCUUUUUUUUUUUUUUAAUUUAAGCUAUGGUAAGCUACUGAAGCAAUCGAUAUGCUUUUUAUCUGGAUGUUAUCAUUCCUACCUGCUGUGAAAAGAUGAGUUCUGUGAUUUUCAAAUGUGACCAGUGUUUUUAAUUACAUGCUUCUUAAUUGUUUUUGUGGCCUUUUGAAGCUUUUUAUUUUUUAAAUGUCUUUCUUAAUAUUUGUCAUACUACACCAAAAGUAUCUUUCUUGGCAGGAUGCAUUGAUUGAUUUUGUUCCGUAUGUUUUCAUUCUGAUGUUUAUGUAUAAACUUGAGUACAAUUUUAGCAGCCAAUCACAAACUUGAUAAUGUAACAUCACCUCACUACGGCUAUUUCUUUUGGAUUGCUUCAGUUGGUCCGACUGCUUAGCAUAAAAUUUUGGUUUAACUUGCUCAGUGUAAUCGUUCAGUAAGUUAAGCCUCACUCACAACCCGCUGUACAGGCGGUCUACGAUAAAUUUGGCAAAACCGUGCUUGAGACUUGCGCGACAGUUGCGCGUGUUCAGCGCCGUAGAAGGUCGCAGACUGCCCGUGGAGACUUUUGGUCCUGCACAUGCAAAUUCUACAGGUCUUGCGACAAAUCAAGAACGCAUACAUUAUGUACGGGGCCCGUACUCCUUUUGUACGCCUGAACCAAGUCAGCAGCGUGGCUAAUAGGGGCUUUUUGCGAUGACAGUAAGGCGCAUGAGUGACGCACGGUCAUUGUAUGAGUGACGUGCCUCAGAAAUACUACACAAGUAUUCCACACUUGCUAUUUGUGCGGCACGCAAGACAGAAGUGCAUCUCACUUUCUACCCCUAUGUGUGGUGCGCACGCGACCUGCACACGCAAUCCGCACGUGACACGAGGGGCAAGACUCGGCAUACAAUAUACACUUGUGUUCAAAAUAAUAGCAGUCCAACACGACUAACCAGAUCAAUCACUGUUUUUGGUGGAAAUUAUAUUACUACAUGGCAAAUAAUUUACCAGUAGGUGUAGUAGAGUCAUAGAAAACCAGCAGACCCAACAUUCAUGAUACGCAUGCUCCUGAGUCUGUGUAAUCGAAUAAUUAAGUGAAAGGGGCGUGUUCAAAAUAAUAGCAGUGUGGAGUUUAAUUAGUGAGGUCAUUCAUUCUGUGAAAAAACAGAUGUCAGUCAGGUGGCCCUAAUUUAAGGAUGAAGCCAGCACAUGUUGUACAUCCAUUUCUCUCUGAAAACCUGAGAAACAUGGGUCGUUCCAGACAUUGUUCAGAAGAACAGCGUGCUUUGAUUAAAACGUUGAUUGGAGAGGUAAAACGUAUACUGUAAAGAAGUGCAGAAAAUGAUGGGCUGCUCAGCUAAAAUGAUCUCCAGUGCUUUAAAAUGGACAGCAAAGCCAGAGAGACGUGGAAGAAAACAGAAGACUACCAUUCGAAUGGAUCGAAGAAUAGCCAGAAUGGCAAAGACUCAGCCAAUGAUCAGCUCCAGGGUGAUCAAAGACGGUCUGAAGUUACCUGUGAGUACUGUGACAAUUAGAAGACACCUGUGUGAAGCUAAUCUAUCGGCAAGAAGCUCCCGCAAAGUUCCACUGUUAAAAAAAAGACGUGCUGAAGAGGAUACAAUUUGCCAAAGAACACAUCGACUGGCCUAAAGAGAAAUGGAAAAACAUUUUGUGGACUGAUGAAAGUAAAAUUGUUCUUUUUGGGUCCAAGAGCCACAGACAGUUUUUCAGACGACCCCCAAACACUGAAUUCAAGCCACAGUAUACUCUGAAGACAGUCACUACGUUUACAUGCACAUAGAGAGAAUCGAAUUUCUGCCCUUGCUCGACUGAAAUCAAAGUUCAAAAUGCCAUGUAUACACCUUAAUUCGGCUGAAAUUGAACCGUACUUGAUUUCUUGGAAUCGAGCUACACGACCUAGUUUAUGCGAUUUCUGCCGAGCUACUUUGUGCAUGUAUACCCUAUCGAGCUAGUUGUCGAGCUACUUCCGGAAGUGACGAGACCACAAGCGGGAAACACAACAGCCUCGGUCGGCAUGACGACAGUAGUAGCGAGCAGCAGAAGAGGUCAGGAGGAACAAACGAAGAAGAGAAAAUGGCGAUGUAGAGCUCUCUGAAGUGUGGGUGGAGCACAGAGGACGGCAGGACAAAGCUUCUGGUACUAAUAUAGGAUUUUUAUUGUCAGACUUUUCAGUUUAACAGCCUACUUUUAUUCUUGAGAGAAAAACACACACACGCGCGCGUGCGUGUUGUGUUCUAGUCCCGGGAUGAGCUGUCCCCUCUGCUCUCCCUCUGCCUCCUUAAAUAGGGCGCGGUUACUGGGAAGACACACAAACACAGGUUAAUUACCGUCAGGUGAAGUGAUUCUGCCACUCACCUUCCCUGGCUCCGCCCUCCUGUCACAGACCGGCGCUUGACCACGCCCCCACUGCCACAGGCAAGCAGAAACGUGCACUUCUGGAGCAAUGAGGAGACAGAGUUCAUGCUCAUUCAGCUUAAGGAGUUGAAUAUAUUAAAAUUCAUGGACGGGAGAACAACGCGCAAUGGAGAACAUGGAACUGAUAACUUUGUUUACACUCUUGAAUAGCUCUUCUUCCUGACGACAACCGGAAGUGUACCAACACGAUGGGGCGUGUAGCGCCACCUGUGGCUCGGGUGCACAAUGCACCUCACAUAAUAGCCCGAUUUCAUUGUGUGCAUGUAGGAUUGGAUUUCUCUGGCACCCCUGCUGGGACCUUCAGCUCGAUUACCGACAGCAGCUCGAUUUGGAUGUGCAUGUAAACGUAGUCAGUGAAGCAUGGUGGUGCGAGGAUCAUGAUAUGGGGAUGUUUCUCUUACUGUGGUGUUGGGCCCAUUUAUCGCAUACCAGGGAUCAUGGAUCAGUUUGCAUAUAUCAAAAUACUUGAGGAGGUCAUGUUGCCUUAUGCUGAAGAGGAAAUGCCUUUGAAAUGGGUGUUUCAACAAGACAACGACCCCAAACACACCAGUAAGUGAGCAGCAUCAGGGUUCAAGACCAACAAAAUGAAAGUUAUGGAGUGGCCAGCCCAAUCCCCGGACCUUAAUCCGAUAGAAAACUUGUGGGGUGACAUCAAAAAUGCUGUUUCUGAGGCAAAACCAAGAAAUGCAGAGGAAUUGUGGAAUGUUGUCAAAUCAUCCCGGGCUGGAAUACCUGUUCACAGGUGCCAGAAGUUCUUAGAAACCGUGGUUAUACAACUAAACAUUAGUUUAGUGAUUCACAGGAAUACUAAAUCCUUAAGAUUUUUUCAGUUUAUACAGUAAAUAUUUGGAGUUUGUAAUGAAAAAUGCAGACACUGCUAUUUUUUUUGAACAGCCCAAUGUUCAUUUUUCUUCAUUUUCUGUAAAGUAAUUAAAACAUUGAUACAUUUUUCUUCAUGUUUUGAUGUAGAAUAUAAUGUGCAGUGUUCCCAAUGCAUUAAAAUAAAAACUAUUAUAAGGAUUAUUUUGAACACAACUGUAUAUAUUGGGGAGGAACCAAGGAACCGAUCAUGUAGCGUGUAGCAUUGUAGAAAGGAAGAAGACCACCUCAUUUGCUGUUUUUAUUUGAGUAUAUGUUAAUUUACCAUACAAACGUCAAAUAAUAAAACAUGAGUAUAAGGGAAUAAUGCAUUUUAUUACAUUUGUAAAAAAUCCCAACUAAAUAGCCCAACAGUUUGAGCACUGAAACACACUUUGACUCCGAGCUGCUGUCCUGCUCCUGCUGAGUAUCGGCAUGGGGUGUCAGGAUGUCCUUAUCCUUAUCCCUGAGCAUGGCAUAAGGGCCUGAAAGCGAUGAUGGGAUUGCGAUGUCCUCACUUCUGGGCGUCGUUAGCUGAAACACAUAAAAAUCAGCGUAUAUAAUAUUAAUGACAUAAGCAUAUAGAUACUGAAAUGAAUGUUUAAAGCGUGUGUAUUUACCUGUGAAAAUCCCUCUGGCGGGGUGCUGUGCCUUCUGCCGGCUUGAAGGCAAACUUCUCCCUGUCCGUGCAGGGCUCGCCGGUGCUGCUACCAUCCUCAUCAAAUUCUUCCUCCUCCUCUGCUGUUUCAGGCUGGGUUAUUUCACUUUUGCUCGCUUCUUCUUGGGUCCCAUUUUCUAAACUUUAAACUGAAAUUUUUUAAAAUUUUUCCCACAAAAUAUCCAAUGUUCUUCAGUUGAAAGACCGAUGCAGAAUGCUGCAGACAUGCUGGUUUUAUACCCACUCCUGGCUUGCGUCACACGCAAGUUAUGAGUGAUUGUAACGUGCUGAUCACAUGCAUCACACACACUUCACAAGUGCGGCCCGAACUCGUAGCGCAGGAAACUAGUAAAAUGCAAGUCUCACAUACACUCACUGACCACACACUGAUCACGUUUGUCAGACAUACACUUUCCACGGGCUAACGGCGCAAUUUUUUCCCAUACUCUGAGGAAGUCAGGUGUGCAACCUGUACUUGACAAGUACUUUGCCCGUACUCCUCCCCCAAACUUUACCCCGGGUUCACCGUGACCCUGCGGCAUGCCUGCAAGCUACCAAACCCUGCGACCUGUGCGUCUCAAACACUUGGGGCGGGUUGUGAGUGAGGCUUUAGCUAGCCACUCAAAUCCAGCACCGUUGUAAUGAAGCUACUGUAGCUAGGUACUGUGCAUAUCCACACUAGCUAGUGUUAGGCUAGCUGUUUUACUGUGCUAUUAAAAUGAUUUAGCCAGGAUUUCUAGCUAGCUUACUAUCAACAGGAUAAAGCUUUUUAUAUUGUAUAAUUAAAACCAGUAUUUUAUGUUGAGCAGCAAGUUACGAGGAAGUAAGUGGUGAUGUCGCAUGAAGUUUGGACUACGAUUCUCGCUCAUGUAUUCUUAGUAUUUCAACCACAACAAUGCCUCAAUGCCUCUGUACACUGAAAAACUCUUGCAGGAGAUGGCCCAUUCUUUAACGUCGCUUAUCAUUCAACGCGACUUCCAUAAGCAUGUGAAUUUUUUUUUUUUUAAAUUUCCGAGUAUGUGUGCAUUUAACAUGGUUACACAGUAAUGCCUGAGAUUAACAAAAUGGCAAUCAACAUCACAAUAUCAAGUUUGUAUAUGGAGAUCUGUUAUUAAAACUCUUAAA